UUACCGCGGCUGCUGGCACGUAGUUAGCCGGUGCUUCUUAUGACGGUACCGUCAUCCGCGCAGGGUAUUAGCCUGCGCGAUUUCUUUCCGUCCGAAAGAGCUUUACAACCCGAAGGCCUUCUUCACUCACGCGGCAUGGCUGGAUCAGGCUUGCGCCCAUUGUCCAAAAUUCCCCACUGCUGCCUCCCGUAGGAGUCUGGACCG
rnacentral:rRNA from 1 species